rnacentral:lncRNA from 1 species
GUUUCGUCUUGUUGAAAGUUGUGUGUGUAGGCCUAAAAAGAUUUUCUUCUUGUAUUCUUCUUCUUCCUUUUUAAGGGGUGGCGGGGGUGGGUGCCGGAUGUAGGCCGCCAAGUGAGAAACAACUUAUUAUUCUCUAGCGACUUCCUAAUCGGACCAUCAAUCUACACAUCUGUCGGCUCUUAACAGCAAUCGAGUCGAGUCACUCUUGGCUCAUUUUCCCCCAUCGAUUAAUACGCUUCAGACACCUGGAAGCUGAACUGCUGCUGCUGCCGGCUGCUUGCUCUGCUGCUUCUUCUUCUUCUUCUCCUCCUGUCAAUUUCUGUACACGCCACACACUCGAAGAGGCACUAACAGCAACGGGGGAAAAAAAAAGAGAAACAAGAUGGUAUCGCGCUGACGAAAACGAAUUGGAAAUCAUUCGGGGCCCCUUGUGCUGGUGCUACUACUACCACCCGGCCAGAGGAAGCUGUCGGGGCAGUUGUGGAAGAAAGAAGAAGAAUAAUCCUGCCACAAAGGGGAAUAGAAAAGAAUAGUCCCGAGUAUGACAAGGGACAAGACGACCGAGAGUGUUCCCUCAGCCGUACUACUCACUCGACAACAACGAGAAGAAAACGUCAUAAUUUAUCUACGUGUCUCUCUCCGGACCCGUAAAGGCACUUGAUCAUCAAAGAUUCAGCCAGGAUCGACGACUGUACCGAACGGCUGGGCGAUGACAGAAGGCCCAUCCAUCUAAUCCCCCAAGCAUUUCGAACUUUUUUCUUUUUUUCGGGGUUCCUUUUGGGCGGAUGAUGACACCGGAACGCGCGCGCACUGGGGGAACCCCGUGAAGAUGUGAGCUGCUGCACGGACUUGUGUGUCCCAGUCAGGGUUCCAUGACGAAUGAAAUUUCCUCCUCUGAAUCCCUCGACUACCACAUCAUCAUCCCUGCAGGGUGUCGAUCGUCGACUCUCUCUUCCGUUUUUUUCUGUUUAGGUUUAUCCAAUAUCAACAUGGAAUAUUACACACACGAACAAAAAAAAAAUAAAAGGGGAGAAGCUCAAAAGGUAUUGUUUGAUUUUCUCUUUUGUGUUUUGUUUGUUAUUUCUUUUUCUCGGGCCGGGUGGAAUCGAUCAAUUAACAAGUCAGAGAGUGGCAAGUGGCAGACAGCAUCAAGGGUGUAUAUGCAUAGUACAGCAUACCGCGCUGCUACAAAGGGGGAAUCGAUCCUUUCUGACGAUUCCAUAUUCAACGAUGUUUGUACAAUGACAGCUGAUAGUAUACCUGCACCGUCUUUAGUUUGAUGCCAACACAAUCAAAAGAAUCCAAUAACAAGAUGGAUUCAUUUGAUCACAUCCAAGAACAGUCCUUACUCUCUCUCUCUUCUAGUCUUCUUCUUCUUGGUCUCUACAUCGGGCACCGAAGCGAAAUCCACAAAGGUAUAAAUGGAUUUAUUUCCAUCGCUCUCGCCCACUCUCUCACACUCGGUUCGCUAUGGCUGGCUUGUGUGUAUAUGUGUCGCUUAUAUUUGUAUUAUUAGCUCCUUCCGGUACGACGGACGUCAUCACCAGGCGUGCGUGAGUUUCUACCACUCUUCAUUCUCUCUCUCUCUCUUCAACAUAUAUUAUAUAGGCUUUCGCUAAUUCUCUUUUGUGGAGACUAUAGCAUAAGAGACCACCCUAGCUAUCGUUUGGUUAGGUUUCCUUUUGUUUUUAUUUCAUCCCUGGUUGGUGUAUCGAUUGAAAAAAAAAAUUCACCUCCUACUUCAGACUUGUAGCCCCCAGAUGCCCUAAAGUUCAAGUUCAAUGAAUGCGUCAAAGCCUUUUGAAUAUUACUCCCCCCUCGUUGUCGAUAAGCUUUUCGAGGGUGUACACCAAGAGGAAUUCAAUCAAUGGCAGGUGUUUUUUUCUCAUCCAUCGAAAUGCGUGGGCCAACUUUGAGAAAUUCUUUUCCUCUUGUCAAGUCUCAAGUUUUUUUUUUUUCUCUACUUGUGAUUGAAUGGGGAAAAAGGGAGUGCUUAACACGACCAAAUUACGAAAUCAUCUCUCAACAUUUUCUUCGUUUCUCUUUCUUCACGGCAGUCGCGAGUUUUUGACAUCAAGGGCCCCCUAUAGUACUGUACGGAGUUUGAAUAAGAGAAUCGUCUUUUCAUUUCGGCGUGCAGAGUCUCGAAAGGCUAAAAUAUCACCCCAUAUCUUGUUGCUGAUCCUAGAAGGUCUGAGGCUGAGCUUUUGUUGCCGUAAACAGGUCAUUUGCAGGCAUCUUCUUUCUUCUGGCUCCUGAUAAUGCUGGCUCCUUUUUCUCUCUCCCGACUCCUCUCGUGCCUGUCACAAUUUUAUUUUUUCUUUCAGGGAAUGACUGGUAAUUUGUGAUUAGAGAAACCAUCACACUCGACUAGGGCGACCAAGGCGGGUAUUAUAAUUUGAGAAAUGGCCGUGGCUUUGGUAGACGAGGUUGGGGCCCGGCAGUUCGUGACCGUUUUAGCGACCGCUGGGGACAGAUUCGACGGUGACACAUAAUAUUUAUACGCCCAGUGAGCGCGGCUGUUUUCGAAUUCAAACGCUGGUAACGAACGUUUCCGGUCCAGGGCGAAAUAUAGUUUGAUCAUUUUCUAGGGGUAGGAGGAGAGCGCAAUAACGGGCUGCUAUUGCUGCUGCUCAGUGCGGAUAUGACCAGAUGAAUCAAUUAUCUGCCGCUUGACGUCUUUUCGUUUACUCCCUUUCUGCAGGAUCAAUCCGUGUCCCGAUGGGGGGCAGCAGCAUGCACGGUCAGUCUUCACGUUGAUUUGUUGCGACACGGAAUUAUCUGAAAAGGCUCGAAACAAUUUGUGGGAUAUACCCACGUCGUCCCCUCUGAUUGCAGCUCUCCUUUCUUUGGGUGUUAUUUUUAGUCAUUUUCAACCCGUUGGAUAUUUAUUGACCUGUUAUAGUUUAGGUGGUGGAAGGAGAAACGUCUUGCAACAGGAAAGCAGCUGACUCACAGGGCAACUCUUCUCUGCCGGUGAUAUUUACGGCCAUCAUAACGGUAGCUUAUGGUUUGUUUGGCAUGGUGGAAAAUAUUUGGAAGGAUUUUUCUUCUUCUUUGCUGCCUCCCAUCAACCUCUUGAAGGCUUAUAUUCCCGACACGAUAUAGCAAGACUAUGAUCGUCAGUUAUUAUCCUCUCCCGGGAUUAUAUUAUUCCUCCGCUUCUUUAGACCUUUUCCUCCUUCUCAAGAUUCUUCUCUCUCUUUUUCUUUUUUCAUUUACGCUAGAGAGGAGCUUCUUUUAGUCGACACUCAUAAUCUCUGCCUCUAUCCUGCCCAUCUAGACGACGAGGCCUAUGCAAAUCAAGCGGUGGAGAAGUUACGACUUUGAACGGGGCUGAACGCAACCAAGAAGAAGGAGGAAAGAAUGAACGAAUCACCUGGCCCACUUUAUCGAGGCCUGUCAAGACAUUUUUACCCUUGUGGCGUCCGGGCGUCCCUGUCGGCGGUGCGCGCAAGGUGGAAUUUUUUUUCUUCUUCUUCUCGCAAGAUCUCAUAGACUAAUGAGGAAUUCUUGUAUACAGGCGAUAACGCCAGAGAGACACACUGCUGUGUGCACACACACACAGACCCAAACUGUGUGUGUGUUGUAAAUUGGCUUAUCUGACGUCAGGGUCUAGCGUGACGAGUCGCGGGAGAAGGGGGGGGGGGAAUAGUACACCAGCACAAACCGAGAAAAAAAAUCUGGCCACUAACGAGCACCAACUCUCUCUCUUUCUUGCAACACGACCAUCUGAAUUGAUGUUAUCAAUUCAUUUUUUUCUUUCUUUUCUCUAUUGUUUUCGGCCAGGUCAUGGCGUGUAAAUCAAUCAAUUAGCACAAGGUCCGAGAGCGAAUAUUCUUAAAGUGAGAUUGAAGAUUAGAAAAUGUGUUAUUUCACAAGUCGAGAGAAAUUGCGUCUGUUUGGAAUCGAACUCGGAAUCUUACGGAGCUCAACAGGGAGCACGACAUUAAAGUACUCGAUCAAUUACACACUUCACAACUAGUCAGGCCUCUUAUGCUGGCCGUCGGGGGAUUUAGUUUUUUUUUUUUGUUGUUUUCUUUUUGGUGGGUGUGUUUAAUUAGCUGCUCAUUUUGCCGUACGGUUCAACUGCAGAGGCCUUUAUGGUCAUCAAUCUUGGACUGGACGUCGCCGUCCAGUAGUGGCUUGUAUAAAAAUGAAAACACAAACGUUCGCCAACGGCUAGCUGUGACUCUAUUUACGACUCGGAUUAAUAUCACAGCGUAAAAGAAAUGGGAAGAAAAGGGCUUUUACGUUAGAUACAUAUUUGAAUGCUCUGAACUGAUGAAAUAACCCGUUGUGAUGGAAAGCGUGAAACGCCGCGGCGCUUGGCCCCGACGGAUUUUCACGCUGCUCUGCUGACACGAGAUCGAGUCGAGCCGAGCCCGCGCCUGUUUGUUUCAGCAACCUGGGCGUUUAACCCUCUUAACUAAAAUUUCGUCUAGACUCUUAUGUAUUUGACUCGGAGGAUGGAAGCCUUAUUCGUCUUCCCCGUGGAUUCACGACAAUCAAGGAAACCUGCUGCUAAACAGGUUUUUUCUUUCUCUCUCUUUUUUUUUUUUUUGUAAUAGUAUUAUCUUUUUUUUUCUUCUCUUCUUUCGUUGUUGUUUAUAACCUCUGGUGUAAUGCCGUUGUCGUUAACCAUAGCCUUGCAACUAAAUAAAUCAAAGUGGGAGGACUCUUGAAUCUUGAUGCUGGGGUGGCGCGGGUCGGUCGGCCGGCUUUUGUACCGUUUCCUUUUAGUUACGCUCUUUAGCAUUGUUUUGCGAUUCCCAGACAAUAAUUCGUAUAAUAAUGUGAACGAGAGAGGAGGCCGAACGAAUCUUUGUUUCUUAUUACAUGGUCAUGGGGCAGAGAUGAUUCCUUUCUUCUGAUUGCGAUGAAUGGAUGGCCUCAAGCUGGCGCAUC